ACACUACAUCCCAGGUGCAUUCCUGAAAUACUUGCUGGGUGGAUUGAGCUUAUUCUGGGGCCUAUCCUGCUUGAAUAUGCAAAGGAUUCCAGUGUUAUCUGGUAUAUCUGAUGCGGCAUUGACCUAUACUCUCAUAUCUUAUCUUCCUACUCAGUAUGCAACCAGAAAAUGCUGGUGCUGCUGUACUACUGAGGGCAGUGCCUCCCUCCAACAACUGCUCUGCAGUGUGAGAUGUGGUCACUCACACAGACUCCUAAUACAGCCCACCGCAUGUAGUCUGGCAAGUGUAUAAGACAAGUGGUCCCUUCUUGGAGAUGAUGGAGGAGAAGGACAUUUGUGGGAAACAAAGCUUUUGCCUUGUAAUCCUCUGGAACCCAAGGGAGAGCCAUCUGUCUGUCAGUACCAGAGAUAACUUCUCUUCUAGAGGAAUACAAAAUCUGAACCACAGCUGCAGCUGCAGCACUGCUAUCCGAGCUUUACGAGUGUUUUUAAGAGGCAAUUGAACAAUCAGUCCAGAACACCGAUGUUGACCUGAUUUCUGCUUAAGGAACACCUGACUUUGUUUCCCACUUUCUCCCUUCCCACCUCAGUUCCUGGGGUGACAGGGCCAAGUUCCAGCAACAAUAGCUGAGUUCUGGCAUUUUGACAUCCAAACCAGGGAUUGUUGUUGCAAAACCAUGUGCAAUUCAGCGCUGAGCAAUGUGUUCCCUACACACAGCUCAGUGCAGUACACUGGGAUGGUUACUAUUAUCGACACUAUUAGGACAUACAGGAGAGCAUGAUGCAAUAGAAGGAACACCAAGCUGAGAUAAAGGUGACAUGGGGAACUGUUGUAGGCAGCUUGAAGGUAUAACUAUAUGCGAAAGCCCCACUGGUUCUGGAGUUGGCCUAUGGAUUUGCAAUGAAUGGAGCAACCAGAAAGGAAUGCAGAUAUAACGGAGAGCCCUCCCUGCCAUCUGCACCCAUGAGCCCACUGCAUCACAGGAUUUUUGCAGGCCCUGCCAUACAAAAAUAACCAAAACCAAGUGAAAAAGUGUUUAGUCUUACAAAUCUCAAAAUAAAAGGAACCUUGGAUAUGAGUGAUUCUUUCUCAUCUCUAAACAUAUAUGUACUUCCAUAAUGCUGAACUCAAUUCUUCUUUUCUUUAUCUUGCAUUUAAACAAUAGACCAGGUUUUAUGGUUCUAUGCGAAGAACUUGUUACACAAGCUCCAGUGACUCACAGUCUUGUUGAACACUGUAUUCCCAAGUACUAGCCUCUAACACCAGGAAUCCUGGUAAAUGGAAUUAAAUAUUUUGCAAGAACAUCUUGCUACAGCAUUUAAUACAUCUCUUGCAUAACUGACUCUUUUGGUGGGAUCUUUACUUUGGAAAAUAAAACAGAUAUAUGCAUGUAUUCAGUUGAGAGGUUGUAACAUGUUGAUACUGAUUUACUUGAGAGUUUUGGCCAAAUAUGGUGUGCUUAUGUUGCUGGGAGUAAAAGGGAGAU
ensembl:lncRNA